rnacentral:rRNA from 1 species
GACGUAGGGCGCGAGCGUUGUCCGGAUUUAUUGGGCGUAAAGAGCGUGUAGGCGGCCAGGUAGGUCUGCUGUGAAAACUCGAGGCUCAACCUCGAGACGUCGGCGGAAACCAUCUGGCUAGAGUCCGGAAGAGGAGAGUGGAAUUCCUGGUGUAACGGUGAAAUGCGCAGAUAUCAGGAAGAACACCCGUGGCGAAGGCGGCUCUCUGGGACGGUACUGACGCUGAGACGCGAAAGCGUGGGGAGCGAACAGG